rnacentral:lncRNA from 1 species
GUACAGUGGCGCCUCGGUGCCGAGGCGAGUGCGGCGCUGACUUGGGUGGCUCUUUGAGGGAUUUGGCCGCAGCCACACGCGCUCCUAGUCGCCGGACUGGAGCUGAUGGAGAGUGGCUGUUGCUGCUGCGGGCUCUCAUCAAUGCAGCCGUUCGCGGAUGCGCGCAGCAGCUGAGUGCUUUAGCUGUCAGCUGCUGGCCGCAGGGAACGGGAUCCCUAAUGCAACUCUGCGCAUGCGCUCGCUCGCCUCUUGCAGACCGUAGUGUGCGCGCGGCUGAGGGGCGGGGAAACAGCCUCCCCAAAAGCUGGACCAGGAGGAGGCCUGGACCUCCUGACUGCUCAGCAUGGGUUACCCAGACCGCGUCCCCCACCCCUGGGCAUAAACUCUGAAGCCAGCAUGAACGCUAAGGGCUGAAUCAGAGCUGCAGCUGCCAGCCUACAGCACAGCCACAGCAGUAUCGGAUCCUUAACCCACUGAGCAGACCAGGGAUCAAACCUGUGUCCUCCUGGAUACUAGUCAGGUUCAUAACCCGUUGAACCACACUGGAAACUCCAGGAAGCUCCUUUAGGCCACUUCAUAGAAGGGAGUCCUAGUAUUGCUGUCCUCUGUGAGGACUGUCAUGCAAACAGAAACACUCAAAAACACAACUCACCCUUGAAUUAAAGAUUUAUUUGGGUUAAAAAGUACCUUUUAAAAAACGCAGGCCCCUCUGGGCAGGGUUCAUGCAUGCUGUAUUCCUAACGCUUAGUUAGCUAAGAAUAGCACUGAGAAUCGGGUGAGAUUGAGAGAAGAGUCAGCUGUUGGACUUUAUGUGAGAUUUGCACAUUUCAGCAGGAAGAGUAGAGAGCGUGGUGCCAGGAACAGGAUAGGAGAGCAGGUUGUCUGGAAAGGGUCGGGGCACAUCAGCAUUGUAUUUCUUUGUCCGUGCCCCAGCUUUAUAGAGGUAUACGUAUGACAAAUACAAACUAUAUAUAUUUGUGUUUGUAAGGUGCACCAUGUGAUAUUUUGAUGUAUAUUGUAUAUAUUGUGAAAUGUUUACCGCAGUGAAGCUGAUUAACAUGGCCAUCACUGAAGUCCUUCUCAGAUAGGACUCGACCUCAGCCACCCCUCAGAUUGGGACUUGAACCCAAGAUCCCUGACUAAGGAGGGAACUCAAACCCCUGUCUUUUAAGUGAAACCACUCACCUGGUGGCUGGACUUACUGAAGCUCAGGUUCUCUAGUUUCAGUGUGGAAAGAAUUCAGCAUGAGGCAACGUGGCAGGCAGAGUAGGCUUAUUAGCAUCGGAUGCUUGUGAGAACCACAGGUUCCCCCCCCCCCCCGCCCCCCGAGAUCAAAGAGGGCUACAUUUUUACAAUCAAAGGAACAAUGGCGAGUGAGCAUUCUUGGGUAGAUAUUAAGACUUACCUCAUCAGUUCCUUCUUUAACCCUAUAUGGCCUAACCAGGACCAUCAUAGCUAUUAAAUCGCAUGUACGCCAAGUGUGGUACACUAAAAUAAGGUAAUUCACCUCAAGUUUCUCUGUAAGGUCCCCUACCAUGGAGUUUCUUUCCCCUUUCCCCUGUAUUCCUAUCUUGGCUACAUGCAGAAAUGCUGCUCUUCAAGGACCGCUAACUCCCUGACUUUGCAUAAGAAGAUGCAGACCCCACAUCUAUUGUCUUGUGCUUUAACUAUCGGGAUGUGUCGGCUUGGGUGUGCCUGGCACUCGAAUGCAUCUGAUCCUCCUUUAAGGUAGUGCAGAUUGUUGCUAGGUUACUGGAUUCUUUUCUUGAGUGGUCAUUAGCUUACAAAGGUCUCCCAAAUUCUUAAAAUUCCCUUUCUAUCUUUAAUCCCCUAUUGGGAUUUCUCAACUAUUUAAUUAUCCUGCUCUAUCCCUAUCAACCUCACAUGGUUACCAUUGUGUGUGUCUGAUGAGAACAUUUGAGACCCACUGUCUUAGCAGAUUUCAGGGAUAUAAUACAUUAUUGUUAAUGACAGUCUCACCAGGCUGUAUGUUAGGUCUUCACAUCCUGUAACUGAGUUUGGGCCCUUUGACCAACAUCUCCCCAUUUCCCUCAACCACCACCCUACUCUCUGUUUCUGUGAAUUUAACUUUUUGGGGUUUUUUUGGCCAUCCCCAUGGUAUGCAAAAGUUCCCCAGGCCAGGGAUCAAACCUGAGUCACAGCAGUGACAAUGAUGAAUCCUUAACCAGUAAGCUGCCAGGGAAUUCUGAAUUUAAUUUUUCUAGAUUCCAUAUCAAGUAGAUCGUUAGCAGUAUUUGCCUUUCUGUGUCUGACUGAUUUCAUGGAACAUAUAGUCCUCUGGGUAGGGCGAGUUCGUGUUGAUGAGGGGCAGGGAUGCAGGAUGCAGGAUAGUGGAUGGGAGGUUGCACUUACAGAAUGGGACUGACCUGGAGGGAGCUUUAGUUCAGUGCUUUGAUCCUAGCCAGACAGACAUGACUUUGACCAGAUGAUCUCUGAACUGGCAAUUUGAUCCCCUGAAGGGGCCAUGUGACAGGAUGUGACGGCGCCUGUGUGUGUAGGUGGUUUCCUGAUGGCAUGUUACAAGAAAGCACCACGGGUGGUGUUUUGACUGCCCGGAGGGCUCGAGUGCUGUGAAUGUACCCAGGCAGUCCCUGGGCUUAUCACUUAACUGACUCUUAUCUCUGAGGUGAGCUGUGCCAGGGGGUCUGGCUUCUAACAGGACCCAGGGAUGGGUAUUUAAGGGAACCAAAAAUCUGUCAGUUUUGUAUUUACUUCUUUCAUUUAAGAUAGUGAUAAAUUUUUUGUUUUGGAACACUCCAUCCAUAGAUAAUAGCAUGCACUUUUAUGUUUUGCUUUAUCCUUUCAUUGAAGAUAUUUUUCUACACUCUUUUCAUAGAGAUGCAUAACAAUUCAAUUAAGAACAAUUUUUUGGCCAUACCUGGGGCAUGCGGAAGUUCCCAGGACAGGGAUUAAACCCACACCGUGACAGCAGCCUGAGUAACAGUAGUGACAACACUGGACCUUAACCUGCUGAGCCAUCAUGGAACUCCUAUAAUUCAAAAUUUUUUUCUUUUUUUGGCUGCUCCUGCAGCAUAUGGAAGUUCCUAGGCCAGGGAUCAAACCUGUGCAGUUGUGGCAUGUGCCGCAGAUGUGGCAGCACUGGAUCCUUAACCUGCUGCUCCACAAGAGAACUGCCUAAUUCAGUUUGUUUUUCUUUUUUAUGACCACACUUGCUGCAUAUGGAAGUUCCCAGACUAGGGGUCAAAUCAGAGCUGCAGCUGCUGGCCUACACCACAGCAACACCAGAUCCAAGCUGCAUCUGCAGCCUGUGCCACAGCUUGCAGCAACAUCAGAUCCUUACGCCAUUGAGCUAGGCUGGAGAUCGAACCCACAUCCUCACAGAUAGUAUGUCAGGUUCUUAACCGUCUGAGCCACAGUGGGAACUCACUGAUUCAGUUUUUUUUUUAACAUAGUUUUCCCAAGUAAACUUAGAUUUUGUGUAAACCAUUCUUAUUUGAGUAGAUGUAUUCAUUUUGGUUUAUCAAAACUCCGUUCAUAGAGAUACAAAACAUCAUUCAGUGUUGCUUAUGGCAGUUUGUUUCAGCAGAUGCUUAUUUCUGAUCUGCCAGCAAUGCAUUCAUAGGGGAAAAAUGUUUCAUUAAGUUUUGUCUCUGAAUUUUUCCUUUUAAUAGGUGCAAUUGCUUGUAUUCUAGUAACACUCCAGAUACAGGCAUUUGUGUUCAUAAACACUUCAUUCAUAGGGAUAAAAACACAUCACUUCGUCUCAUUAGAUCCACUUGUUGUUAUAUCAAUGUUAAGUGCACAGAGAUAAGUAACCUAUCAUUCAGUCUUUUAAGACCACUUUGCUUUGAGUAGAUGUAUUCCUCUCCAUUCUAUUUCAGAGAUUUUAUCCCAUGUUUUAUUCCAGAGAUUCAUAUGAUGUAUUGUGGGAGUUCCUGCGUGGCGCAGAGGAAACAAACCUGACUAGUAUCCAUGAAGACUUGGGGUGGAGGAUCCUUGGCCUCGCUCAGUGGGUUAAGGAUCUGGCAUUGCCGUGAGCUAUGGUGUAAGUUGAGCAUUCAGUUCAAAUCCCGAGUUGCUGUGGCUGUGGUGUAGGCCGGCAGCUAUAGCUCCAGUUAGACCCCCAGCCUGUGAACCUCCAUAUGCCAUGGGUGUGGCCGUAAAAAAGCAAAAAAAAAAACCCCAAAAAUAUAGUGCGUAUUGUGUUUAGGUGUUUCCUUUCAGUAGACAUCUUUUUAAAAAUUUAUUUUAUUGAAGUAUAUCAGACACAACCUAGAAUAGAUAUACAAGGAGAUCCUGCUGAAUAGCAUUGAGAACUAUGUCUAGAUACUCAUGUCGCAACAGAAGAAAGGGUGGGGGAAAAAACUGUAACUGCAAUGUAUACAUCUAAGGAUGACCUGACCCCCUUGCUGUACAGUGGGAAAAUAAUAAAAAAAAAAAAAAAAAGAAAAGAAAAAAAAAA